UUUCCCGGAUGGUGUAAAGGCAGCAGCACACUCGUUCACGGAUAGGGAAGCCAGAGCAGAAAGAGGUGGAGGUUUCAGAGCAUAAAACGGAAUGGUAUAAAUGAGCUCGCUUCUGGGGAACGUGGCCGUUCCGGACUGAGCUGCGGAGCUGACUCUCUUAAGCAACCAUGUGGCUCUCCUCCAUCUUGGCAAAUAACCUCAACAAGAGGAGACACCCGGAUGACAAUUCGUGUUACCACAACACCUUACCUAUCUCAGCUCCUCAAAUCUCUCGGCUCUGGUCUGCUAUUUCCUGUCCCAGCUCUCGAAUUCGGAAAACCUGGGGACUGAUGUAUACCUGUGUCCCUCGGAACCGGCUGCAUGACAGCGUUCUGGUCUCGGGCCUUUCUGUUGCGGCCGCCAGCAGCUCGCAACAUGAACGGUUCGACUGAGAAGGCCACUCGAGCUGUAAGAGAGGAAUCUAGACGGGGCGAAAGAAGAAACGGAGCUAAGACAAAUUCAUUCUGAUCAAAGCUCAAAUUUUAUUGUUGCGACACUAGUUAUAAAGGAAGGGGGAGGGAACCCGACUCCCGCCGAAUAAUCUCUGGUCCAGUAGAAAGGUGCACGUGUGUGGCUCCGCAGGUUCUAGCAGUGGGCGUGGCAGAACGAAUGAGCAGGAAGCUCCACCCCUGAGCAAGCAGGUUUCAGGCUGGGGGAGGGGAGACUACACCUUUCCUCAUUAUUAUACAUGUUAUCAUCAUGUACUAAGUACUAAAGGGUGCUUGGAUCAUGUGAACUCCUUAGUAACAGCCACAUGAAGAAAUGCAUUCAUUCUGCAUCCUUUGUUGUUACCCUUAACACUCAAAGGGAAAGAAAAAGAAACUUCACGUUUAAGUACUUCUAAAAUUACCUCACUCUGUCUUUCUAUUUUCUAGGUUUUAACCAAGUUAAAUAUUAGUUUUAAUUGGUUAUAAUCAGGAUUAAAAAUACAUUCUUACUCUACUUGCCAGAUCACUGCCUUUUAUAAUGAAAGGAAUGAAAUAAAUAUUUUUUUUAAUGU